CCGGCUCUUCUAUCUCCCGUUCCGCGCAAAGUGCGUAAGUCUCCCCUUUCGGCGUCCCAGUUGCUGUACCUGAGGGGUUAGCGCGUGCGCAGAGCUGAGCAAAAUGCGUAAUGCUUUGGCUAGAAUACGGAGCGCCUCCUCCUCCCCUCGGGGGCUUAACCAGAAAAGGGGCGGGGCUUAUGGUCUUUUAAAAAUAUAGAUGGGGGGGAUGAUUAAGGUGCGGUUGGGUAAGGUAAAGUAAAAAGGCGUUAGGCAGGUGCGGAAAGGCGAGAGUUUGGGGGAGAAAGAAGUGAGAGGAGGGCCCGGAGGCGGGUGAGGUAAAAAGUGGAGGAGAAAGACAGCAUGAUGGAAUAUAAAUAUAAAACUGCGUAUAAUUAGGGACGAAGGUCGAGGUUAAAAAAAAGAAAGGAGUGACAGAGCCAAAAGAUGCUGCUGAGGGAGAAACGGCUGAAGCGGGGAGGGAAGCUGAGGUAAAAAGCCAAAGGGAGGAAUGGAGUUCGGCGAAGGUCGGCGUGAGGGGAAAGGCAGGCUGAGGUAAAGGAGCGCGAAAAGUGUGGAGAUGGGAGGCGUCGCGCGAGGCGGGGAGGCAAGGGGAGGGUGAAGCGGGAAAGGAGCAGCACGCGGCGAUGAGGAUGGGGGGGGCUAGAAAUAAGGGGGAGCAAGUAAGUGGGUAUAAGCGAUGGCGGGCUCUGGGGGCGAGCCGAGGGGGUUUCGAAGGAGGCGGCGUCAGGCUGCUGGAGGGGGAAAGAGCGGAGGCGGGAAGGAGAGGCUGCCGCCCCUGGAGCUGGACAGGGUCUGAGAGAGAAAAGUGGGGAGGGGGUUUCAUAUUCGUUUUAACUAUAACGUGGAAAUAUACAAGAUACCUGCACUGCAUUGUCAGACGGAAAGCGACACACCCUCAGGUGCUCUCAUUGAGACACACACUGCCCAGGGGAAGGAAGAACUGAAAUGGCCCUGAAUAAGACUGCUUCCUAUGUUCAUAGCUGUCAACUUUCAGAUUUGAAAAUAAGGGAUCAGCAGCCUCGAAAAUAAGGGACCUGCAGCCUCACCUGUCCCAGGGACAGUCAACGGGAUAGCUAACAAUCCGGGAAAGCAGCGGGAAACAGCGCUGGAAUAAGGGAAUUUCCCGCCAAAAAAAGGGAGGGUUGACAGCUAUGCCUAUGUUAUCCAGCUCCUUGAGCACCUGCAUGCUAAUAUACAUUUCCUGAAUACUUGGUUCAUAUGCUGAUAAAGUCCUCCUUUUAUAUUGGGGAUGUGGUUAGGGACUAAAACAUCAAACUCAGGUCACAAGGGAGAAACUUGGAAGGCACGCUUAGCAAAUCCACACCGUGAUCAACUCCCGUCUGGAGCUUAGCUGUCAACUUUUCCCUUUUUUAAAGGGAAAUUCCCUUACUCCAAAUAGGAUUCCUCACAAGAAUAGGGGAAAGUUGACAGCUAUGGUCUGACCAAUGUUCCCACUGUGGAAGGAGGUGUGGAUCCAGAAUUGGCCUCCACAGUCACUUACAGACUCAUUGUUAAAACUGUGUUUAUGGAAGACAAUCUUACUCAGCUACGAGUGAUCGCCAAAUAAGCAGAAUAGCUUUGCAAUCCAAUUCAAAGUGAAAAAAUUAUGCCAAUGGCUAAUAAACAAGCCCUGUGGUCUGUAGAUAAUAGAAUCCUAAGUGUGUCUCAUUGUAAAAUAGAGUAACUAGCCCACCUCCUAAGCUGUUUAUGGGGGACACCAAACUUUACUGAGGUUUGCAGAAUGAAGCCAUAUUCUGCCCCAGACAGGUGAAGUGGCAGAGGGGAGAGAGAGGCACAUUGCUUGAUAGCAGCCCUGAGAUAAGAGUUAAAAUGUACAGACAGGUUGCUAAAAGAAGCUGGUUACUUUAAGGGGCUGGGCUUUGAGGACCAGCAUAAUUAAUCCCUUUACCCCAUCUAUGAUGCUCUUAUCAACCAACUGCCCAAGAGUUUCAAAGAGGAUUAACAAACACCUUUCAAGACUUGCUUUGUGAACAACUCUGGGGGUUUUUCUCUCUGACAGCUGCUUAUUUUCUGUUCCAUGCCUCAUCUCCCUACUCAUGUGUAGGCCUCUGCUCAUAAGCAGGCUGCUGCAGCUGCUACUGUUAGCUGAGCAAGUGCUCCAGAGCUUGCAGUCUUCUGGGCAACCAUUGUUUGGACAGAUGCUUUUAAAAUGCAGCCUCUCUGGGGCAGGGCCAUUGUUUCAGUGGUUUACCUGAGGCAGCCUCCUUCCUACUUGCCCUCCCACCCAUCAUAGACCUAUUCCUGUGACCUCAGCACUCCUGGGUCAAGCCAGAAGCAUACAUCUAAAAACUUAGUUUUCUUUCAACAGUAUUCUGUUAUACUUUUCUAUGCAUCCUGGCAGAGUAGAACUGCAUAAAUUAAUGUACCUAAGAUAGCCACGCCCAUCAUUUUCUACUCUGAGUAGGAGUACUAAUGCAAGUAUAAACUAUUACCAUACAGAGAGGUGAAGUAGGUUGCCUGUCGGACCAGAAUGACAAAACUUCUUAACCCUGACUUUCCAUUUCCCUAGAGUGGCAAUACCUUCUUUGGUAUUUAUAACUAAUACGAUGAAACAAUAACAGGAAGAGAGAGGCAGGUAAACACUGGAUCACAUGUGUUAAGACAGGACAGAACUGAUGCUACAAAGGUCUGCAGCCACCAAAUUCCUUUAGAAAUGAUGUAUUCAAAAGUUUUAAAAUCAGGACAGUUUCCUGCACCUGUAAUUCGUAUGUGAAACCCUCACAGACUGAAUUGUUUCCUUUCAGGAAAGGUGUAUUAACCAAAGGGCUGGUGCUUAGUAGGCUAGCACCUAUCUUGAAUACAGAAGUUUCCCAGGUUCACAGCCUGGCACCUCCAUGUGGGACUGAGGAAGUCCCCUAUCUGAAAACAUGGAGAGCCACUGCAGUAUGCUUCAUGGUUGAGAUCCCAGCUUGCCCGGUGUUUGAAAUAUAUUAUAGGAAGUGGGGAGAUAUGAUCCUACCUAAAAGCUGAGGCUUUUGACCAAAUGAUUAUUACACCAAAGAUACUACCCCUUAGUCAUCACUGCCUCAGUUACCAUGAGUACUACUUGCACUAACUGCACAUCAAAUGUGCCUAGGAGUGCAUGCCCCCCCCCAAAAAAACCCCUCUUGAGAAUUGCUUGCUAAGAAUUAGGCAACAAGAUUGAGAUCAGUUGUGCAAUUGAUCACUAAUCUGCUUGCCAGAGGCAAAAAGCAAAUGCUUUUGGGAGGGAAGCCAGGAGACAAACUACCCCCCCCCCCCCACACACAUCCAGCAAACUACACACAUUGUCACAGAUAAAGUUGUAUGCUCUGAUCAUAGGCUUCCUUUGUGCAUACUGGAGAAGAGGACAAGCAGGGUAGGAUGUGAGUGACUCUUUCCAGACUAAUUAUUUACAAAGCUAAUUAAGAUAAAUGUUUUAAAAUGUAUUUUAAAAAGUUUUGAAAAAUACAUUGAAUUUUGCAUAGCUCACUGUCGACAUCUAGUGUCACAUUUGUAUAUUGCACUUUACAACACAUUUAAAAUAUUUUAUUUGCAUCUGUAUAGCUGAGUCCAUAGAAUGGCUCCUGAGCUGUCCGUUCUUGAGCAUAGCAUAAAAUGGGGUUUUCUUGCCUUAUUUUCACAAGAUGAACCUUUGGUAUGAAUUUUUGUUUGCAAUGGUUUGACCCCUUUCCAUUUUAACAGUACAAAUUCUACAAACACCUUCCAUAUUGCCUCCUAUAUAUUUCCCAUCUUACCUUAAUGGCACAUGUUAAUUUAUCGUUAAUAGCUACAGGUGAAACUCGAAAAAUUAGAAUAUCAUGGAAAAGUUCCUUAAUUUCAGUAAUUCAACUUAAAAGGUGAAACUAAUAUAUGAGAUAGACUCGUGACAUGCUAAGCGAGAUAUGUCAAGCCUUGAUUUAUCAUUGUGAUGAUCAUGGCGUACAGCUGAUGAAAAACCCCAAUUAACAAUCUUAGAAAAUUAGAAUAUUCAAGGAAAUCAGCAAAACAAGGAUUGCAAAUCGAGCAAGAUUGGACCUCUGAGAAGUAGAAACACAUCUCGCUUUGCAUGUCAUGAGUCGAUCUCAUAUAUUAGUUUCACCUUUUAAGUUGAAUUCCUGAAAUAAAUGAACUUUUCCACGAUAUUCUGAUUUUUCAAGUUUCACCUGUAUAUCCCACACCUCUUUAUACCAUUCUUCCAUUUUAUAUUCUGCUUGCCCCUUCCACUUCCAUGUUUCUCCCAUAUUUUCCCCCAAUUUUGAGUAUUUAUCUGCCCUGUUGUCUCCUUUUCCCACACCUCUUUUAAUUGAUCUUGUUGAUCCUCCAUGUCUGCUAAUAUUUUAUAAAUUUCACUGGUUUCCCCUAUUUAUAACUAUAUUUUCUUCUUUAUCUCCAUUUUUUAUAAUUUUUUAUAGUUUUGUAUAUCCUUUGCAGUUCUUGUUUUCCCUUAAGCACUUCUUUGUCCAUUGCUCCAGUUGUAUACAGUUAAACCAAAUUAUUUUACUUCCUGUUAGAGCUUCUCUUAUUUGUUCUCAUUUUCUCCACCCACUUCUUUAUUUUAAGUAUUUUUUGUUCCUUUUUUAUUAAGAAAAAAUCAUUUUCAGAUAAAUAAAUAAAUAAAUAAAUAAAGAAGAAAAGAAAUAAAGUUACAUCAAAACAUCAUAAAAAAUUCCAUAUAUUGAGUUUACUCUGUAUCUCCUGACUUCCCCCCAUCCCAUCCAUGGGUCCUAUUACUUCUAUUUUCAACUGCAUAUCAGUACUACUCCAAUUUUUCAUAUUUCUAAAUUAUCUAUACUUUCUGUUGUAUUACAAGUGUAUUUAAAAUCCUGCUAAUGUUGAUUUUGUGUACAGUAUAUAUAUAUAUAUAUAUAUAUAUAUAUAUAUAUAUAUAUAAUAAACAUUUCCCAUUCUUUUUUGAAUUUCUUGUCUUCUUGGUUCCUGAGCUUCCCAGUUGAUUUUGCCAUUUCGGCAUAGUCCAUCAACUUGAUUUGCCAUUCUUCUUUAGUCAUGGUUGUGUCUUCCUUCCACCUCUGAGCUAACAACAUCCAGGCGGCCAUUGCAGUAUACAUGAACAGUUUCUUCUGAUGUGUUGGGAUAUGGGUACCUAUAAUUCCUAAGACUUCUAGUUUUUUCAAAGAUUAUUUUAAACAUUUUUUUCAUUUCAUUGUAUAUCAUUUCCCAGAUUUUUAAAAUUACAUUGCAAUUCCACCACAUAUGAUAAAAGGUAUCUUCUUUUUCUUUACAUUUCCAGCAUAUAUUGUGGUUGUUCUAUACAUUUUUGCUAAUUUUAUUGGGGUUAAGUACCACGAUACAUCCUUUUCAUAUACUGUAGUUUUCUUUCAGUGAAUAAUAUGCUGUAAAUUUCAGAUCUGUUUUCCAUAGCCUCUCCCAAUCUGUCAUUUGUACAGCCAUACCUCGGGUUAAAGACGCUUCGGUUUAAAUAUUUUCAGGUUGCGCCUUGCGGCGACCCGGAAGUACCGGAAAGGGUUACUUCUGGGUUUCACCGCUCGCGCAUGUGCAGACUCUCAAAAUGACAUCAUGUGCAGAAGCAGCGAAUCGAGGCACGCGCAGAGGCAGGUUGCGUUCUGCUCAGGUUGCUAACGGGGCUCCAGAAUGGAUCGCAACUGUAUAUUAUGUCCCACAUCCUUUGUUCAUUGUAUCAUCACAGAUUUAACCUGUUCAUCUUUUGUAUCCCAUUCCAGGAGCAAAUUAUACAUUUUUGACAGUAAUUUAAAGUUAUUUUCUAAAAUCUCUCUUUGAAAUCUUAAUAAUAACUAAAACCAGUAUUUUUAUCCAUUUUUUAAAAAGUAAUUUAAUUGAUGGUAUUGUAGCCAAUCUGUUACCAGGUCUCUCACCUCUUCAAAGUCUUUUAAUUUUACCUGGUUUUCUACCUCAGGUAACAGCUCUUUGUAUGUUAGCCAGUUAGUCCUGAUAGUCACUUUCUUUACAGAUAGUGUUUCUAAUGGGGAAAGCCACCAUGGUGUUUUUUGUUCUAAUAAGUUUUUAUACUUCUCUCAUACUUUAAAAAAUGGUUUUCUUAUUAUAUAAUUCUGAAAGCCUUUGUGUGCUUUCACUUUGUCAUACCAUAAAUAUGCAUGCCAUGCAAAUCUAUUGUCAUGUCCUCCUAAAUCUAACACAUCUCCAUUGUUCAAUAAUAUCCAUUCCCAGAUCCAGCAGAUGCAAGAUGCCACAUAAUAUAAUCUCAAAUCCGGCAGGGCGAAACCUCCUCUCUCUCUCGUAUCUGAUAAUAAUUUAUAUUUUAUUCUUGGUUUCUUCCCUUGCCAGAUAAAUCUAGAAAUAUCUUCUUGCCAUUCUUUGAUGCAUCCAGCACUGCUUAUCACCAGGAUUGAUUGAAAUAGAAAUAAUAUUCUUGAUUUUUGUGUUGAUGGUGCUGCUUAUGAGGCUGAGAGGAGGAGGAGAGAGUUGUUUUAUUGUGACUGGUUUUAUAUUUGGAGGCAAUGAACCAAAGUGAAAUCUACAGCUUGGUGAUCCAAAGAGGCAACAUCGUUGGCUAAUAGAAUACAGUACAAACUAUUCCUGCUAUAAAGAUGGUGACAUGGCUAUUAGCUGUAAUUAAAGAAAGAAAAACAGAUCUAAGUGAGCCAGGAUGAAAUGUAAACUAUCAAGUGUUUGCUAUGUUAACAAAGCAGAUAGGUUCAAUUCUUCACAUGUGUGAACAGAGACAUAAUCUUUUCUAAUGCAUUUGAAAAACAAAAACUCUGAGAUCAAUACUUUUGUUCUCAGAUUCCAAAUUUCGCCUUCAGGGACUUAUUCAGGAUUCUCUUUUGGAGUUAAUGGGAUUUGUGUCACCUGUAUCUGAAGGCAGGGUUUGAAUUUAAACACCCCAAGUGACUCUACUUUGAGUAGGCACACAUGUAUAUUGCUGUACACCUGACCAAUCUCACUGAAAUCAAUAACACUUUACAGGUAGUUUAGAAUAAAUUAAGCCACUGAAGUGCAUGUAGUUGGGUUGGGAAGGCUAAUAACUCCUUCGGUCCCUACAAAAGUGCCUGUAUUUAGUUGCUCUUUCCCAAAAGUCAUGUGUUUUUAGAAUAGAAGCAUAUUAACAGCAGUACUGUAGCAUGUUGCCCACAGCUUUUUUGCAGUUACCCACAUCCUUGGGGCUGUAAAAAGGCCAGAUUAGAAGAAACCUCUGUCAUCUUUAACACACACCCCUUCUUCCAAGUUGAGAGAUGCAUCAUUGCAGAUGUGCACAGUGUCCCAUACAACAGCACAGCCUUUGCCAACCUGGAGCCCUCCUGGAUGUUUCGCUGGCUGGGGCUGAUGGGAGUUGUAGUCUAAAACAUCUGGAGGGCAUCACAUUGGUGAAGGCUCCUAUUAGCAGAUCAACCUAAGGGAUAGGCUGAGAAAAUACACAACUUCUGACCACGUAAUAAUUACUUCCUAACAUGCAGAUUAGUGCUUUAAGCAAGAGAAGGAUGGGUAGAGGAUUCCAGCAUAACCAGAGGUCUUUGGUUUUUAUCCAAAGGACUGCUGCCAGACUGUAAAUACAUAAAGUCAACAAGUGCCAAUUUCCAUUAUCAUUGUAGGCCUUCUUGCAGCCAAAACCAGGGCAGGCCUAAUACUUUUGGGCACCUAUAGCAAAGCACAAAAUAGUGUUCAUUCCCCACCAGGAAAUAAGAGGGAGGGUGAAGACCAGCAGCUUCUCCUAUUUACCAAGAGGCUGCGGAGGGGUGGGGGGCAGCUGCAAAAGAAAUGGCAGAUUUGAACUCCAAGGAACAUGCUGCAGCUGUCAGUGCCAUCACAGCAGUGGGCAAUGCAUUAAUGCAUUCUUGGAGGCCAAAUCUGCUGCCCCUGUGGAUCCUGCCACCAGAGAUCGUUGCCUCACCUUGCCUCAUGGGUGGGCCAGCCCUAGACAAAAUGACUACAGCAAUUGCUGCUGACCACCGUUUUUGGCCUGGUUCACAUUUUCGACACUGCAGUUUAUCAAACAACUGGGACAGGUCCAAGGAAGGCAACCAAUGAUGGUGAGGAGCCGGGAGGCCAAGCCCUAUGAGGAAAUAUUGAAAGGUUUGGAUAUGUUUAGCAUGCAGAAAAGGUGAUUAAGAAGUAAUGAAAGAGCUAUUGUGGCUAGUAGUCAUGUUUCACCUCUACUGUCAGACACAGUAUGCCUCUGAAUGCAAGUUGCUGCAAGUCACAAGCGGUGAGAUCGUUGUACUUUGGGAAUAGGAAUCUGGACUAGAUGGACUGUUAGCCUGAUCCAGCAGCCAAACUCUUCUGAUGCCAUUGAAUAGUCAAAGGACUGACAACGGAGCAAACUUGUUUUCUCUUCUUCAAGUGGGAAGGACCUGAACCAAUGAGGUCAAAUGCUAAGGAAGAGAAUUAGGAAAUCCUUCCUGAUGGCAUGAUAGUAUUGAGCAGUGAAACAGACCUGCCUCAGCAAGCUAUGUACUUGAUGGCUGUGUACUACCCCCAGUGUCAGAGGUGGUAUGCCUCUGAAUGCCAGUUUCUGUAAAUCAUGUGGGUUGUGCUCAGGUCCUGCUUGCCGGUUUCCCAUUGGAGCAUCUGGUUGGCAACCACGUGAAUGGGUUGCUGGACUAGAUAGGCAAGUGGUCUAAUCCAGUGUUCCCCAACCUUGGGCCUCCAGCUGUUUUUGGACUACAACUCCCAUCAUCCCUCGCUAGCAAGACCAGUGGAACACUGGUCUAAUCCACCAGAGCUCUUCUAAUAUUUAAGUGGUGGACUCUCCCUUGGAGGUUUUUAAGCAGUAACUGAGAUGGUCACUUAUUGGGUGUGCUUUAAUAGUGGCUUUUCAGUAUAAACAGGGGGCUGGAGUAGAUUGCCUUUGAGGUUCCUUGCAUCUCCAUGUUUGGCAGUAAGCAGAACCUAAUGAUGAUGGGAGAAUAUGGUAUAAGGGUCUCAAGUGUAGAGUCCUAGCAUGUGGUUCAGGAUAGUACCUUUUGCGUUUACUUUAAGAAUUUGUGCAAUCCAGUACCUUUUUAUGGGACACUUUUUUCUGUUAAAAUACACACAGAGAAUGAUAAUGAUGACUUUUAUUCAUCCCCUUUGCUGUUUAAAGACUGAAAUGUUUUCAGUUCUUCUAAUUUCUUACUUAAGGCCUAUUGAUUUUUUUCCCCUCCCAGGGUUCUUCUGGGAUGGGAGACCUUGUGGAAUUGUGUCUCAUGCAAAUUGUAUCAGAGCUGCCUGCAAAUUGUGGUGAGCAGGCAGAAUAAAUGUAACUUUGCCAUAUUAAUAACUAGGCAAAAGACUUAUUUAAGCUCAUGUUCCUAGUGAAAUAUUUAUGUAGCAUAUUUGAAUGCUGAAGAGUGGACAUCAGGACAUCAGGAAAACAGCAACCAUCUCAUCACCAUCAAAUUCAGGACCAGGAUGCAAUUGCGAAUCAAAAGGCCUGGUCUGAGAUGGCAGAGCAGACCAGCUCUUCACACUGCUGUUGGAAGUUCCCAUUCUUGAAUGCUCCCCUUGUGACUUUACUGUUAUUAUUUAUUAAAUUUGUAUACCGCCCUAUACCCAUAGGUCCAUAGGGUGAUUCACAACAUAAAAUUACAGUCUAAAAAAAAAUACAAAAUAUACCUAAUAAAAUCAAGAGCAAAUUCAAUCCAAUAAUCACCCCUUCCACAACACAUUUAAAAGGGCAUGCCACAGGAGCUUCCUUGUCCUGAUGCCCAACAUAUUGGUGAAAUCAAAAUAACAGACCACACUCCAGUGAACCCACAGUUCCUAUUAAUUGCAUCAGAAAAUGUACUAAAGUUCUAAAAUUGGAUAUUUUAGUACUGUCCUAAAUCAAACAGUAGAACAAAAAAGACACUGGAUUUUUUUUUAAAGGAGAAUACAGAAGGAGUAAGUUAAGGAUUGCUGCAAGAAACAAUGAAGGCAGUGUUUAGAGCAUAGAGGCAUAUGUAUUCAAGAAAAAUCAAUACUGAAUAAAAUUCACACAAAAGAGGCAAUUAGAACAGGAAGUCUUCCCUGGAAGAACAAAGGCACAGGGCAACAAGUUCAAAACAAGUUAAUAAACAAUUACAAAUUACGGUAAGCAAAAAGAACUAGAAGCAAUAGAUAAAACAAUGAUACAAUUACUACAUUUAAAACAAAAAUAUUAUGAAUAUGGGGUCAGGGAUCCAAACUUUUAACUGCCAGGUUCCAAAAUGGGAAACAAAGCAAUAAUUACAGGUAUAGAAAAGCUAGUAGAAAGGGUUUAUAGUACAAAAUUAAUACGUGCAGAAUUUUGAACGUUUUUCUUCUCUUUGUUUUACUUCUCCCCCUCUCGAAAUGAAUGUGGUAAAGACAAAGCUAAUGAUCACUUUGUCUUUCUUAGACAGCUUCGCUGUCAUUGUUGGACCAUCCUCUGCUUGUUGCUUUGAAGUUUGCAGCUGAUCAGUAAGUGCCUCAGCCCGGUGGCAUUAUGUCCUUCGCUGGUGUCCAGAGUGUGUACGCACCAGGCAAGACCAGAGACUGGGUGUAGAGCAUAAACAAAACCUGCUGUGCCAGCCCAACCCUUGGUGCUGGGCAGGUACGGGGCAUAGAGGUUUCACGAGGCUGCACUGCACCGUGCUGCCUGCUUGCUUGCCUGUGCAGGGGGGAGCCCAGCCAGCCAACGCAGCCCUUAGUGGGCACAUCCCCCCAACUCUGGCCAGGCAGCCAUUCAGCAGCGGGGGGGGGGGGGGGGAACAGGGGCAAAGCAAAGCUAGGCUGGGCUCCAGGGAUAAGAGACCCCUGGUGGCAGGCAGGGCAAGUUUCCCAGCAUGGGGGUGCCUGGCUUGCCCCCUCAAAAUCAUGUACCUGGGGCAACACACACCCGGUCCUCCCCACACUACACUCCUACCUCAGACAGCUUUUGGCUAAGUUCCAAAGGGAUGAGAUAACUGAAGAUGGACAAACAUACAGGAGAAACAUAAGAGAGAUUCAACUGAUUCCAAAACAGGACAGAGUUGGCUGCAGAUGCAACAACAUGAGCUUGAUGGUAAUCAAAGGCAUCAGGCAGCAGACGUGGACAGAAGUGACCAAAGGAAAGCAGCGGAAAUGCAAACUAUUCCUUGUAUAACUACAAGGCUGAGAAAGCCAAUAGAGAGGCUAAUAGAGAACUGUUGAUUCAUUACCACUAAGGUAAUGAAAGUAGGAAAUAAAAUAAAUUGUGGAAUCAAAGCAAUAACCAGGAAGGUAAAGGGACCCCUGACCCUUAAGUCCAGUCGUGGACAGUUCUGGGGUUGCGGCACUCAUCUCACUUUACUGGCCGAGGGAGCCGGCGUACAGCUUCCGGGUCAUGUGGCCAGCAUCACUAAGCCACUUCUGGCAAACCAGAGCAGCACACGGAAAUGCCGUUUACCUUCCCGCCAGAGCGGUACCUAUUUAUCUACUUGCACUUGGACGUGCUUUCGAACUGCUAGCUCAGCAGGAGCAGGGACCGAGCAAUGAGAGCUCAUCCCAUCGCGGGGAUUCGAACCACCGACCUAGGCUCUGUGGGUUAACCCACAGCACCACCCGCGUCCUAAAGAGGUGUUUAUGCCAGAGCAUUUCACUUCCCUGUAUUAGCAGCAUUUUUCCUGGAAAGCUUCUCAGUUCGCUUUAAUGAAAGAGAUAUCCUUUCUGUUGCAUCUGUCAAGGGAGGUGGCUCCCAUGGCUAGUUGGAAUAUAUUAGUAUUAAUACUACUUGUGCCCUUUGGAGGAUAGGAUCAGGCUCUCCUAUUUCUAGCAAACUGAACAGGAAGGCAGAUGAAGUUUCAGUGCUGUAGAUCAUAGCAGCACCUUAUUAUUCAGACUUUCAAAUAAUCCAUAUGGUAGACGAGUGAAUUGUUUGUGCAUGUUGUCUUUUGCACACAGAUUCAUCCACACAUGUUUAAUAUUUAAAAUAUUCCUAAACUACAAUAUUUGAAAUCUGUAGACAAACAUUUUUGUGCAGGAUAACUUACUUUUCUUUAUGUUUACGUGUUAUUGACAUGGAAUUGUUGAUGUUACUGAGUCUGGUGUGGGAUGCAAUCCACAGCCAUACUGCAAAAUCCCCAAACGAGGAGAAUUAUUUAAGAGCUUCUUCUGAAGUCUGUCAAUUCUACUACACUUUGCAUCUUGCAGACUGUAGCCAACACCAGGUGAGAGACCCACAGGUUUGUAUUACUUGUUUGUAUCCUGAAGCACAUCUGUUCUUCCUGUAGAAAGUGGGUGAUUCUGCUUCUCAGCUCUGCAUUAGCUAAUUGAUAUCUGGCUUGGUGACCUUCCAGCAAGGUCACUGGAAUAGCAUCUCCAAAUACAAAGCACAGGAGCACUACAGGAUUCUGAGAAACAAUAUUAUUUAAGUUCCCUCCUUUCCCUUGUGAGACAAUUGUCCAGCCUACACGGUCUCCUUCUGAUUACAGUCUACUAUUUCUGUGUUCUGUUAGAAAGAAAACAUUUGAGCGCUAGGAAGAAGGUGGAAAUUAGCACCCCUGCCAUGUGUGCGCUUGCGUGUGUGCACAUGCACAUGCAUGUGCCUGCAUGUGUAAGCAAGUGAGCAAGCCUGAGCUUGUACUAAGGUGCCAAACAAGGCCACCAGUACCGUAAUUAAUGUUCAAAGCUUCUAAAAGUGGAAUUUAUAAAUAGGGAUAAUUUGACCUUUUAAAGGUGCAUACACAUCAGUUUCCCACUUUGCAGAGGACUUGUCCCUCUGCUGGUGCUGAAACACCUCCCCCCCCCCCCCCCAGUGCCUUCUGUUGCUUGUUCAGUCCACAUAUUUCUGACACUGGCUAAUUUAGGUAUUCCAUCCGAAAGCUGAAGUAAGAGCCCAUAAACCUAAACUGUCAGUUUCCAAAUGCCAACCACAUGUUAUGAGCUACAUUAUGGAUAUGUCAUCAGCACAGAUUAUUUGCAUAUCUUUUUAAUGCCACUUUAAGAAAAGGUAUUCUUAGACUGAAUGCUUCAUUUCCCCAACACUUUGUAAAUGCCUGCAGUUAAACUCCAAGGGGGUGGCUUUGCAAGGAGAGUGCCUUCCUGCUCAGCAUAGUGAACCAUGGAAUUGUGAUACAGACUGCUCAAAGAAUACUAAAAAUGCUUCUGAUUGAAACUAAAUUAGGAGGGUGGGAGCAUGGGCGUAGCCAAGGAGGGGUAGCUCCCCCCCCCAAAAAAAUAAAUAAAAAUACAUAGCUGCUGCGGUUCUAAACCCCCCCCCCCCAAGUCCGGCCCCCUAACAAAAAUCCUGGCUAUGCCCAUGGGUGGGAGAGCUCAAACAGCGAGAAUCCAAUGAUCUUGAGCAGGGUCCCAGCAGGGCCCCCCAUUUCCUAGGACAUGGAUGUCAGUGCUGGCACAGACACAUUCUAAAUACACACCUUGCUUGCUGUGCUUGCACUGUUCUUUAAAACCAAAAAGCAAGGGUGUAUGUGUGCUGCUUAUUGGAUCAACGUCUUAGCUUGCUAAGCCAUGAAGUUCACCUGCUGUGCCUUUUAACUUUUGUCUGUGUGCCAUACUGAUCUGAACAUUAAAGAUUUGGGCAGAAGCAGUAAUCCAUGUUUUGAGUUCUUCAUCCUGUGAGAGCAGGCAUAUACCUACACUAGGGGCUGCUGCCCCUGCUUAGCACCAACCCCUUUGUCGUCCCCCCACUAGACCAACCCCCUUCCCUUUACAGCUCACCCACCACAAAGCUUGCCUCCUCUCUCAUGCCUACACUCUUUUUAAACAGCUUGCCUGAGCCUGCCUGCCAUUCCUCAUGCGGCACCAUAGUUUGGACAAUACACUAAACCAGGCAUAGGCAAACUCGGCCCUCCAGAUGUUUUGAGACGACAGUUCCCAUCAUCCCUGACCACUGGGCCUGUUAGCUAGGGAUGAUGGGAGUUGUAGUCCCAAAACAUCUGGAGGGUCGAGUUUGCCUAUGCCUGCCCUAAACUGUGACUAAUUGAGAAGUGAAAUAUUUUUAUCUCCUCUUCAUGGCCACAAGUACAUCACAAACAUGAGCAGGGAGGAAGCAUGCCAGGAUGAGAAAAGAUACAAAUACUGUGCAGUGGAACCUCUACUCAUGUACGGAAUCUGUUCUGGAGGUCCGUUCAUGAGUCGAUCCGGGUCGCUGGUAGAAGCACUGUUCUGUGUGUGCGCAUUUGGCAGCGGCACCGUUCUGCAUGUGCAGACGGCAGAAGUCACUUCUGCAUGUGCCCGAAUCGCGGCAAACCCGGUAUUUACUUGUGGGUUUGCUGCGGUUGCGAGUCGAAUUGUUCGCGAGUAGGGGCAGUGGUAAGUCGAGGUUCUACUGCACUGUCAACUCCAUGGACUUGUAGCAAUUAGAGCCAAGCAGUGUUGAUGAAACCAGAAGUGACUGGCAGCAACUAUGUAGUUCACAACUACUGUAUCUAUUUUAGGUACAAUUACAGCAGCGAGCAGUAUUUUCACAGUACCUUUCCUUCAUCUUAGGAACAUAGGAAGCUCAAUAUUGUGCCCCCCUGGGACUGGCAGCAGCUGUGCAGGAUUCCAGGGGGCAGCCUUUGUCAGCCCUCCCCAGAAACACCUGGGAAUCAAUCUGGGACGCUAUGCAUGCAAAGCACUGUCAGAGAUUUUCCGUCCUCCCCAUGAGUCCGGGUGGACCACAUGGGCCUGGUAUGAACCUCCUUAAUCUACUAUGGGUACAUUUCUGCAGAGACCAAAACAAAGCAGAACAAAACACCUUUCAGCCAGGACAUAAAAAGAUUGAAACAGGAUUUCCUCUUGCAAAAAAUUGUGUGUGUGUAAGUGUGAGAGAGAUGCUGGGCCUUCAGGUGUGUUGUUGCACCUGGAGCUGUGCUUUGAGGAUAAUUCCAGUGAGCAUGAAGGGCUUGCUGGUCUUCUGAGGCUGUUUCUCCUGGUCUCUCAGCAGUGAGCACAAAGUGGGUGAAAUUGUUGCAAGUAGCAUAGGCGGGAGGAGGGGGAACAUAUGCACUGCACUGGAUGAAAGAAAAGCUAAAAAUCUCUCAAGUCUGUGUUUGUUGGCAAGGAAAGGAUAGGUAUAAAAAGCAAAUUCCCUGGAUGCCAAGAUCUGAGUUUGGAGUAAGUACUCUCUGGUGAGAACCUCAGGAAAACCUCAGAUUUAAUAUUGCAAAAAAAGCAUCAAGGUAAAGUAUGGAAAUAUAGGAGAUUAGACCUUUAAAAUAUGCUCUUGUGAGUUCCAAAAACUUCCAUUUUCCCCUAGCGUCGAAAGCUAAAUAUGGUUUACUUACACAGGUCAGAUUUAUGUGCUUUUCCAUACAGCAGAAAACAGGCAGUUCCUAAAUUAUUAGUUCAGGAAUACAAGAAAGGUCGACAGGUAAAACAAUAGGCUUGAUUACCUUCCUCCCAAGGUGAGAGAGAGUGACUUAACUAAUGCCUGGCAGGAUAGUUUAUGGAAUUAAUCCCUUCAUGCAUUAAUUGAACUUAAGCAAGAUUAUCCCAUGUUUGUUAAGCAAAAAGGGGUGCUGCAUUUUAAAUUUAUAGGAAGAUGUUACGGGAAAGUUUGUUUAUUGAGCAGGUUGAGUCACCGAGUGUUUUUUUUUCUGCCUGCCAGCAAACAAUUAACUAGCAACUGCUCCUGAUUGGCCAGAGUUCCAAGGGCGGCAGAUGGAGUGGAGUGAGAGAUUGUGUGAGAGAUUCAUUUGGUCUGUGAGGGGGAUUCACUCAGGAGGGUUCAUUCUGACAGGUGGUAGAGCUGAGGAGAGCCGAGAACUCUCAGUAUAUGCUCCUAGGUUGUGAAUCACAGAACACUAUUAAAAUAGACAAGACACAGUUCCACACAGUGUUUUACAGGAAAAAGGGUCCUCAGAGGAAAGGGCAGUAGUGAUUCCGAAGCCAGGGAGGAUUUGGGGGUCUGUAAGGAAACAGUCCAAGGGACACGGGUGGCGCUGUGGGUUAAACCACGGAGCCUAAGACUUGCCGAUCAGAAGGUCGGCGGUUUGAAUCCCCGCGAUGGGGUGAGCUCCCGUUGCUCGGUCCCUGCUCCUGCCAACCUAGCAGUUCGGAAGCACGUCAAAGUGCAAGUAGAUAAAUAGGUACCACACUGGCGGGAAGGUAAACGGCGUUUCUGGGCACUGCUCUGGUUCGCCAGAAGCGGCUUAGUCCUGCUGGCCACAUGACCCGGAAGCUGUACACCAGCUCCCUCGGCCAAUAAAGUGAGAUGAGCGCCGCAACCCCAGAGUUGGCCACGACUGGACCUCUAAUGGUCAGGGGUCCCUUUACCUUUACCUUUAAGGAAACAGUCCAGUUAAAAUCCUACAUUCCUGAAGUGUGAGUGGAGAAGUCUGAUCUAUGAAAGAUGUGUAAAAGGAAGUAACCUUAAGCCUGAACAGUAUACAGCCUAUAACUUGAGACAGAACACCUUUAAUAAAAAAGCAACACCACUCUUUGUUACAUUUCUGUGGAAGAAGAAGAACCGAAACAACUUUAUCUGUUUAUUAUCUGUUAUAAUAAAGUUUAUUUGCAACCUGUUUUCCCAACAGAAAAACCCACUGUCGCUCGUGAUUCAUUCUCCAUUGGGGAUUUCACUUGAGGGAAAGGGAAACAGACGACUGGUUUAGUGGUGCCAGGGAGAGAGAGGGCCGUUGCGCCAUUGCAUGAGACAUUGCACCUGGAGAUUUCAAUUGAGAAUUGGCGCUGUCUCCUCUAAAAUCCAAGGAACAAAGUAAAAACUGUAGCUAUAUAACUGCUGGUGGGAGUAGGAUUCGAAAAAGACAUAUUAAUUGAAAUAGACUUGCAGCCAAGUCUUCCAUUAUAUAUUAUCCAUAUUUUGUAUUGUUUAUUCCUUCAUAUGUAUAUCAUUUGAACAUAAUAAAUGGUAUAAACAGGGUGGCCUCGUUCGUACACGUUGUAGAUUGCACUUUAUCUUCGGGUCGGUUUGCAUCACCUUGACGCUAAGCUGCUGGUUGGAUCCAGGGAUUAGAAGGGUCUCGGCAUAUAGCCCAGCACCCCCUCAAACUUAAAACAAUAUAUUUAAAUUGCAUUUAAUAAUGUUUUAGAAUGUAGGUAUUAAAAUACAGUUUAUUUUCUCUUAGAACAAUGCAUACAGUCAUACUUUGACAGUUUUUUAAAAAAGAAUGUGCAAAAGCCCCUAAAUGCUCUACAUAGACCUCAGUAACAUGGAGGACAGCUAUCAGUACUCCUCCGAUUGAUCUCAGUCCUUGAUCUGGGAUAUAAGGGCUUGGGUGGCACUUAAGGUGUCGUAAAGCCAAGAUGUUCAGGGCUCUAUAUAUUAUUAUGAAAGCUUUGAACUUAAUCCUUUAGCAUAAGGGCAACCAGUGCAGAUGUUUUAACAGAGGUGUCACAUGUUAUCAGCUCUCUGCCCUAUCACCAGUCAUGACAUUCUACAUUGGCAUCUCUUGUGGGAGCAAAUUCCAGAGUUUAAUCAUGUGUUAUAGGAUUAAGUACUUUAUUUAUUUAUUUUAAAAAUAUUUAUUGAUUGAUUUUCACAUUUUUAUACAUUUAAUCUCUUUCCAAUUCAUAUAUAAAGUUACAAGGUUCUAUGAACCUUUUGACUUCCUGGGUUCUUAUAUUAUAAGAUAAUUUUUUGCAUCUUAUACUUUUCCCAACGUUACAUAUCUCUAAUUUAUCAUAGUCAAUUUCACAUUACAAAUGUCAUUACAAUGCUAACAAUGAUUUUAACUGUUUACAAUGGUUUAUUAAAUAAACUACAAAUUUACUCCAGUGUCUAACAAAUACUUGAUCUUCUUGGUUUCUGAUCUUCCCCAUCAGUUUUGCCAUUUCUGCAUAUUCCAUCUGCCAUUCUUCCUUUAAUGGCAAUGUUUAUUCCUUCCAUUUUUGGGCUAGUAACAUUCUUGCUGCCACUGUUGCAUACAUAAAAAGUCUUUUGCCUUCUCUUGGUAUUUCUACACCUAUUAAACCUAAAAGAAAGGUUUCUGGUUUUUAAACAAAUGUAUUUUUAAACAUUUUCUUUAAUUUAUUAUAAAUCAUUUCCCAGAAGUCUUGCACCUUACAACAUGACCACCACAUAUGGUAAAAAGUACCCCCCCUACAUUUCCAACACCAUAGAUCAGCAUGGUAUAGAUCAGAGCUUUCCAAACUGUGUGCCACGACACGUUAAUGGUCAGCUGCAGUGUGUAGGUGUGUUGCGCGAACGCUCCCCACACUAGUAAAACAGAAUUACUGUGUCAUAAAAUGAUGCAAAACUGAAUUUGUUGAGAAAUGAUGUCAAAAAAAGUCACCAACAUGAAAACCUCUGGUGUAUAUACCGUAGUUCUGGUGUAUAUAGAACAAGAUCAGAGUUAAAUGCUUUAAUGUUGCAAGGUGGGGGUAGUAGAUAACAACCUGGCAAUUGCACUUUGCAUCAGUUGUUCCUAUUCUCCUUCGAAAUAAGUCUGCAUCGAAUUCACCAGGGCAAUCAUCAUAGGUGCUAUGUCCUCCUUUCAUAGGAAAGGCCACAACUGGUGAACCAGUCCUGUGUUUUACUUCACUUCUACUGCUUGUACCUCUAAGGUAAGGGCCAGGCCAAGUAGUAGCACCAAACAGUGCAUCUGCUGCUUAAGAGAACUACAAUCCCAUUCAAGGAUGAAUAAAACAUUCUCCUCCUCCAUCCUUCCCCAGGGUUUCCCUCUUAUCUGAAUCAAGUUCCCUUUUGUACACCCUAUUCCUGAACAACUGAGACACCAGCUUCAAUUCUCUCUAGGAUCAGAAGAUGGAAAGAAGAGGUGAGGUUGGGUGGACUCACCCAAGCAGAGGCAAGGAUACCCUGGACAGCUUCAUACAGGGCUCACAUGUUGCUUCCACAGUCUCAGUCUAAUACCACAAAGAGG